rnacentral:rRNA from 1 species
UACAGGGGGGGGCAAGCGUUUGUUCGGAAUUACUGGGCGUAAAGGGCCAGUAGGCGGCCAACUAAGUCACACGUGAAAUCCCCAGGCUUAACCUGGGAACUGCGUGUGAUACUGGAUGGCUUGAAUUCGGGAGAGGGAUGCAGAAUUCCUGGUGUAGCGGUGAAAUGCGCAGAUAUCAGGAGGAACACCGGUGGCGAAGGCGGGUCUCUGGGCCGAUACUGACGCUGAGGAGCGAAAGCGUGGGGAGCGAACAGG